rnacentral:piRNA from 1 species
GAUGUGCAGAAUCUUAGGACUAGUGC